AAUUUUUUUUUUUUUUUUUAUAUCUUAUUUUUGUGGAGACCCGGAUAGAUCCUCAUCUGUUUUAUUAGCAUCUGGUAGGUUCCACUAUCACCUGUUAACAUAUUCAUAGUCAUCUCACAUAUUUCCAUAUCAUAUUCUCUUUUAUCAUAUCAUUCACAACUAUUUAUGAGAUCUCAAAAUGAAGUAUCAUCUAUUGCAUUCAUAUGGAAAUUCAUAGAUAAUAAAUUACAAGUUUUCAUUUCAAUCUCAAAGUUUAAUUACAAGUCCAAAAUGAAAUACAUCAUAAACUAGUAAUUACAUCAUGACUAGACAUAAUGAACCAAAAUACUAGUCUAUACAUGGGCCCUACCAAAAUACAAAAGACUGGUGAGGUGACUCUGAUCGGUGGCAGAUCUGGUCGGAACUCUGUCCGAAUACUACUGUGGCGGCUGCUGAUCUUCAGUACCUACGCGAUGGAAAACCAACGCGCUAAGCAUAACGCUUAGUGGUGCAUAAUUUAUAAUAACAAUAAUUAAACAAUUGAAUUAAUAUUUACAAAUCAUAAAUUCUGGGUCUUUUACAUUUUUUUACACUUUGGAAUCAAUUAAAAUUAUUGAGAUCUUUCCUAUUUACUUAUUGUAUAUUCAGUAUUAAUUAAUUAUUAUCAAUGCCCAAGAAACCUAUAACAAAUUAUAAAAGCUGGAUACACGGGAGUAUAUGGGUUAGACAACUAUAUGUCUACCCUGUAUAUAUCUGUCAGGCACGAGGCCAGCUGUCGGGCACGAGACCCGCUGUCAGGCUUGUAAAGCCAGAAAUAAAGUAGGCACAAUGGCCAGUAAGUAGGCAUAUAGCCUGUAGAACAAUCAUAUCAGACAUAUAUUGUCAGUUCAUGAUUUUCUCGGUAGGCAGUACUGCUAUCUGUAGUCCCUAAUUGGUAUACCAAUUUAUCCAAACUAAAUAAAUAAGUCUAGGUAUACUAUGGGCAAUUAAACAUUUUUAAUUAUUUUAGCACUAUUCACUGUUACUAUUUUCUAGUACUGUUCAUUGGUACCAUUAAUUUCAUAUUAAUGGGACAUUAGUCCCAAUUUACAUAUUCAUAUCAUUUUUAAUAUUUAAUUAUCCUUAUGAGUAUUUUAAUUAUCAUAUAUAGCAUUUUUCCCAUGAACCUUUCUUUAGGUUCAUGUUGAUGUGUUAUCUUUAUCUAGGAAUUUGACUAGGUUAGGAUGUCUAUUUAGUCACACUUCCUUCAUAACAAUUGUUCCUCUAUGUUUAAACUUGAAUUUCAGUUUUUGAAUCACUGAAUUUGGGGUUAUAGAACUCAAGUUAUGGUCAAAAUACCAUAACUGGUCCCUUUGCCUCUAAGCUGUCCAGAAUUUACAAUUUCUAGUCAAUAAACUUUGACCAGUCAUUUGAUCAUUUUAUGGUCAUUUUUAGACUUAGGUUCCUUCACAAGAUAUGUUCCUCUAUGUCUUAGGGACUCCCAGGUACAAUUUCAUAAUUUUUCAAGCUUGGUAUAGUGAGUUAUGGUCAAUGUAUUAACCUGGACUCUCAGUCCUAUAAGGGCAAAAAUCAACUUCAGGGCAGUAUGUUUGACCCUCUUUUUAGGGUCUUUACACUUAGAAUUUGGCAAAGGUGUCUAAAUCAAUAUUGUAGCCCUAAGUAUCAUGUUUCCAGAUCAUAUUGGCACAUCUCAAAUGGAAUUUCCUAGUGGGAGUUAUGGCCAAAUGAACACACAGGUAUCAAAUGGCAUUCUGGGUUCAACUUAACAUUUUCUAGAUUUCAAUUCCUAACUUUGGCUAAUAUUUUCCCUAGGAUGCAAUGGUUUCUAGAGCUUGGUCAAAACAUAAAAAUUGUUGUGCUAUGUCUUAUAAAACUUUUGGCACUAGUUUCACUCAAUUUGCAGCUUUGG
rnacentral:misc_RNA from 1 species